UGUGAUGUGUGUAUGUACAUG
rnacentral:miRNA from 1 species